rnacentral:rRNA from 1 species
ACGAACGCUGGCGGCAUGCCUAACACAUGCAAGUCGAACGAGACCUUCGGGUCUAGUGGUGCACGGGUGCGUAACGCGUGGGAAUCUGCCCUUAGGUACGGGAUAACCCAGGGAAACUUGGGCUAAUACCGUAUGAUGACGUAAGUCCAAAGAUUUAUCGCCUAAGGAUGAGCCCGCGUAGGAUUAGCUUGUUGGUGAGGUAUAGGCUCACCAAGGCGACGAUCCUUAGCUGGUCUGAGAGGAUGAUCAGCCACACUGGGACUGAGACACGGCCCAGACUCCUACGGGAGGCAGCAGUGGGGAAUAUUAGACAAUGGGCGAAAGCCUGAUCCAGCAAUGCCGCGUGAGUGAUGAAGGCCCUAGGGUUGUAAAGCUCUUUUACCCGGGAAGAUAAUGACUGUACCGGGAGAAUAAGCUCCGGCUAACUCCGU